UACUCCUACGGAGGCAGCAGUAGGGAAUCUUCCACAAUGGGCGCAAGCCUGAUGGGGCAACACCGCGUGAGUGAAGAAGGGUUUCGGCUCGUAAAACUCUGUUGUUAAAGAAGAACGGGUGUCAGAGUAACUGUUGACAUCGUGACGGUAUUCAACCAGAAAGCCACGGCUAACUACGUGCCAGCAGCCGCGGUAAUAC
rnacentral:rRNA from 1 species